AAAAUGCGAAACGUAUUGUGACCUGCACUCUUUGAGAAUCAACGAAUAUUUGAACGCACCUUGCACCGACAGACGCGAGCCUGUCGGUAUACUUGUUUGAGCAUCGACACAGCAGAAUGAGCGGUCGCCGUCAGUAGAUAGGCGUGGCUUGAAAGGCAGCGGGCGGCGCGGCACCAGCCAUGGGAUAGCAUCCAGCAUGGCGGGCGGCGGGCCGGUCGAGUGGGACACGGAUAGAAGCACACACGAUCUCAAAUCAAGCAGGAAGACCCGCUGAACUUAA
rnacentral:misc_RNA from 1 species